rnacentral:rRNA from 1 species
UUGCAGGUACCAUACGAAUAAGGACCGGCUAAUUCCGUGCCAGCAGCCGCGGUAAUACGGAAGGUCCAGGCGUUAUCCGGAUUUAUUGGGUUUAAAGGGAGCGUAGGCUGGAGAUUAAGUGUGUUGUGAAAUGUAGACGCUCAACGUCUGAAUUGCAGCGCAUACUGGUUUCCUUGAGUACGCACAACGUUGGCGGAAUUCGUCGUGUAGCGGUGAAAUGCUUAGAUAUGACGAAGAACUCCGAUUGCGAAGGCAGCUGACGGGAGCGCAACUGACGCUUAAGCUCGAAGGUGCGGGUAUCAAACAGGAUUAGAUACCCUGGUAGUCCGCACAGUAAACGAUGGAUGCCCGCUGUUGGUACCUGGUAUCAGCGGCUAAGCGAAAGCAUUAAGCAUCCCACCUGGGGAGUACGCCGGCAACGGUGAAACUCAAAGGAAUUGACGGC